CGCGUGGAGAACCUGCCGUAUACUGGGGGAUAACACUUAGAAAUAGGUGCUAAUACCGCAUAAGCGCACAGCUUCGCAUGAAGCAGUGUGGAAAACAAAAAGCUAAAGCUUUUGGUGGUAUACGAUGGAUCCGCGUCUGAUUAGCUGGUUGGCGGGGUAAAGGCCCACCAAGGCGACGAUCAGUAGCCGGCCUGAGAGGGUGAACGGCCACAUUGGGACUGAGACACGGCCCAAACUCCUACGGGAGGCAGCAG
rnacentral:rRNA from 1 species